rnacentral:rRNA from 1 species
UACGUAGGGGGCAAGCGUUGUCCGGAAUCAUUGGGCGUAAAGCGCGUGUAGGCGGUUCGGUAAGUCCGCUGUGAAAGUCGGGGGCUCAACCCCCGAAAGCCGGUGGAUACUGUCGGACUAGAGUGCGGAAGAGGCGAGUGGAAUUCCUGGUGUAGCGGUGAAAUGCGCAGAUAUCAGGAGGAACACCAAUUGCGAAGGCAGCUCGCUGGGACGUUACUGACGCUGAGACGCGAAAGCGUGGGGAGCAAACAGG